GGGUUGUGAGGUUAAGCGACUAAGCGUACACGGUGGAUGCCCUGGCAGUCAGAGGCGAUGAAGGACGUGCUAAUCUGCGAAAAGCGUCGGUAAGGUGAUAUGAACCGUUAUAACCGGCGAUGUCCGAAUGGGGAAACCCAGUGCAAUUCGUUGCACUAUCGUUAACUGAAUACAUAGGUUAACGAGGCGAACCGGGGGAACUGAAACAUCUAAGUACCCCGAGGAAAAGAAAUCAACCGAGAUUCCCCCAGUAGCGGCGAGCGAACGGGGAGCAGCCCAGAGUCUGAAUCAGCUUGUGUGUUAGUGGAACGGUCUGGAAAGUCCGACGGUACAGGGUGAUAGUCCCGUACACCAAAAUGCACAGGUUGUGAACUCGAAGAGUAGGGCGGGACACGUGGUAUCCUGUCUGAAUAUGGGGGGACCAUCCUCCAAGGCUAAAUACUCCUGACUGACCGAUAGUGAACCAGUACCGUGAGGGAAAGGCGAAAAGAACCCCGGCGAGGGGAGUGAAAAAGAACCUGAAACCGUGUACGUACAAGCAGUGGGAGCACCUUCGGGUGUGACUGCGUACCUUUUGUAUAAUGGGUCAGCGACUUAUAUUCUGUAGCAAGGUUAACCGUAUAGGGGAGCCGCAGGGAAACCGAGUCUUAACUGGGCGUUAAGUUGCAGGGUAUAGACCCGAAACCCGGUGAUCUAGCCAUGGGCAGGUUGAAGGUUGGGUAACACUAACUGGAGGACCGAACCGACUAAUGUUGAAAAAUUAGCGGAUGACUUGUGGCUGGGGGUGAAAGGCCAAUCAAACCGGGAGAUAGCUGGUUCUCCCCGAAAGCUAUUUAGGUAGCGCCUCGUGAACUCAUCUUCGGGGGUAGAGCACUGUUUCGGCUAGGGGGUCAUCCCGACUUACCAACCCGAUGCAAACUACGAAUACCGAAGAAUGUUAUCACGGGAGACACACGGCGGGUGCUAACGUCCGUCGUGAAGAGGGAAACAACCCAGACCGCCAGCUAAGGUCCCAAAGUCAUGGUUAAGUGGGAAACGAUGUGGGAAGGCACAGACAGCCAGGAUGUUGGCUUAGAAGCAGCCAUCAUUUAAAGAAAGCGUAAUAGCUCACUGGUCGAGUCGGCCUGCGCGGAAGAUGUAACGGGGCUAAACCAUGCACCGAAGCUGCGGCAGCGACACUAUGUGUUGUUGGGUAGGGGAGCGUUCUGUAAGCCUGCGAAGGUGUGCUGUGAGGCAUGCUGGAGGUAUCAGAAGUGCGAAUGCUGACAUAAGUAACGAUAAAGCGGGUGAAAAGCCCGCUCGCCGGAAGACCAAGGGUUCCUGUCCAACGUUAAUCGGGGCAGGGUGAGUCGACCCCUAAGGCGAGGCCGAAAGGCGUAGUCGAUGGGAAACAGGUUAAUAUUCCUGUACUUGGUGUUACUGCGAAGGGGGGACGGAGAAGGCUAUGUUAGCCGGGCGACGGUUGUCCCGGUUUAAGCAUGUAGGCUGGUUAUCCAGGCAAAUCCGGAUAAUCAAGGCUGAGGUGUGAUGACGAGGCACUACGGUGCUGAAGUAACAAAUGCCCUGCUUCCAGGAAAAGCCUCUAAGCAUCAGGUAACAUCAAAUCGUACCCCAAACCGACACAGGUGGUCAGGUAGAGAAUACCAAGGCGCUUGAGAGAACUCGGGUGAAGGAACUAGGCAAAAUGGUGCCGUAACUUCGGGAGAAGGCACGCUGGUGUGUAGGUGAAGUCCCUGCGGAUGGAGCUGAGACCAGUCGAAGAUACCAGCUGGCUGCAACUGUUUAUUAAAAACACAGCACUGUGCAAACACGAAAGUGGACGUAUACGGUGUGACGCCUGCCCGGUGCCGGAAGGUUAAUUGAUGGGGUUAUCCGUAAGGAGAAGCUCUUGAUCGAAGCCCCGGUAAACGGCGGCCGUAACUAUAACGGUCCUAAGGUAGCGAAAUUCCUUGUCGGGUAAGUUCCGACCUGCACGAAUGGCGUAAUGAUGGCCAGGCUGUCUCCACCCGAGACUCAGUGAAAUUGAACUCGCUGUGAAGAUGCAGUGUACCCGCGGCAAGACGGAAAGACCCCGUGAACCUUUACUAUAGCUUGACACUGAACAUUGAGCCUUGAUGUGUAGGAUAGGUGGGAGGCUUUGAAGCGUGGACGCCAGUCUGCGUGGAGCCAACCUUGAAAUACCACCCUUUAAUGUUUGAUGUUCUAACGUUGGCCCCUGACCGGGGUUGCGGACAGUGUCUGGUGGGUAGUUUGACUGGGGCGGUCUCCUCCCAAAGCGUAACGGAGGAGCACGAAGGUUAGCUAAUCCUGGUCGGACAUCAGGAGGUUAGUGCAAUGGCAUAAGCUAGCUUGACUGCGAGCGUGACGGCGCGAGCAGGUGCGAAAGCAGGUCAUAGUGAUCCGGUGGUUCUGAAUGGAAGGGCCAUCGCUCAACGGAUAAAAGGUACUCCGGGGAUAACAGGCUGAUACCGCCCAAGAGUUCAUAUCGACGGCGGUGUUUGGCACCUCGAUGUCGGCUCAUCACAUCCUGGGGCUGAAGUAGGUCCCAAGGGUAUGGCUGUUCGCCAUUUAAAGUGGUACGCGAGCUGGGUUUAGAACGUCGUGAGACAGUUCGGUCCCUAUCUGCCGUGGGCGCUGGAGAAUUGAGGGGGGCUGCUCCUAGUACGAGAGGACCGGAGUGGACGCAUCACUGGUGUUCGGGUUGUCAUGCCAAUGGCACUGCCCGGUAGCUAAAUGCGGAAGAGAUAAGUGCUGAAAGCAUCUAAGCACGAAACUUGCCCCGAGAUGAGUUCUCCCUGAGACUUUAAGUCUCCUGAAGGAACGUUAAAGACGAUGACGUUGAUAGGCCGG
rnacentral:rRNA from 1 species